AUGUUAAGUAACUUAUUUGGAUUGUUACAUCUUUGAGUCACAAAUGAAGAAUCAGCUCUUUAUAUCGUAUGAACAAGCGUGGACAUAUCAUGCAAGUAAAGACACCGAAGAGUUUUUUCACGGUCGUGGAAAACGAUUUGACCACCAGGAGUCCACUUUGAACUGAGAAAGGACCUGUUUACUUCCCUUUGACGAGGAAAAAACAGAGACUGAUGGAGCUUCAUACAGGGCAUGAACAUUCAUUAUUUCUGACAGUGCAUUAUCUACAUCCUCCAGUCGAACAGUCUUUGGUGGCCAUGGAGAAGCCGGGAGCAGGAGGUUAGUGUUGAUACCCAGAGCUGAACUCCCAUUGGGCAUCUGCUGAAAUCAGUAUGCCACCCCACCAAGAUGGCCUUGAUGGGGCUUGAGCUACAACCUGAAGCCCACCACUAACCUUGAGCAGCUGCAUACCAAUAAAAAGAGGAAUAAAAAUGUGCUCUCUGAGCUGUAAAUGUGAAA